GGGGAGAUGCCAGAGAGGCCGAUUGGGCUCGCCUGCUAAGUGAGUACAGGGGCGUAAAACCUCUGUCGUGGGUUCGAAUCCCACUCUCCCCG
rnacentral:tRNA from 1 species